CCACGUGGAAGGAAAACUGAGGAUCGAAGACAGCACAGCAUACCUUACCAAUGGUGGCGAUGGCAUCUAAGUAUUCAUCUGAUAACUCUCACAGAUAACAUUGACUGUCACCAACCAAAGCCAUUCCAAUUUGGCAAUGGCUGCAACUCUCUCUUCACUCUCCUUCUUAGACCCUCAAAUUCAAAACCUCUCUUUCCAAUUCCACCAACCACGCUCCUUCACAACGCGCCCCUUCCACUUCAACAAAACCCCACUCUCCACUUUCAAACUCUCUUCUUCUCAUUCCCAUUCACCUGACCCCUUCUACACGGGUCGCUUCCUCACCGACAAUGAACACCGCAACCUCAACUUCCUCGAAACCUUCCUCUACUCCCACCAACUCCAAUCGGGUUCCAUGUGGGUCCGGGUCAUGAGGCCCCACGAGAUCGACCUCACCGUCCGGUUACUAGCCGAUUCCUUCGCCGAAUCCAUGCUCUUGCCCGCAGCCUACCUCAACGUGUUAAGGUUCCUUGUGAAACAGUACUUGGUGGAGCGAAGGACGUUGAUGCCACACAUGGCAACGCUCGUUGGUUUCUACAAAGAAGAAGAAGAAGAAGUGCAACUAGCAGGGACUGUGGAGGUUUGUUUUGACAAAAGGGGUGCCAAUGUUUCUCUCCCUUCACCCACCCCUCCUUUGGAUUCGCCCUACAUUUGUAACAUGGCCGUGCUAAAGUCUCUCAGAAGGAGGGGCAUUGGCUGGCAUCUUCUAAAGGCAAGUGAGGAAUUAAUUUCUCAGAUGAGUUCAUCAAGAGACGUAUACUUGCAUUGCAGAAUGAUCGACGCUGCUCCAUUUAACAUGUAUACAAAAGCGGAUUACAAAAUUGUGAAGACAGAUAGUAUACUAGUCCUGCUGAUGUUGCAGAGACGCAAGCACUUGAUGUGCAAGAAACUUCCUCUUUCAAGUACGCCUUCAGAAACAGAUCUGUCAGUUUCUGAUAUGUAAAAGACAACAUGAAUGUUAAGCAAUGGUAGCAAAGCUGCUCAUGUUGGUUUUUAGUUUGACUGGAGAAGGGAGUGUUAUCAGGCAUCCUUAUUUAUUUCUCUUAUCUGUAGGACAGUGACUGAUUGUGUUUCAGGUAAAUUACAAGAUACUGUUGUCGAAGUUAUCGAUUUACUUCUCUGGCUCUGACAGCCAAGUGAUUUAAAGGAUUGUAAAACUGGUAACUUGUUUUAAAAUACCGGUUUAGAUACAUGGGUUCUUUCUUGAAGAACCUAGGAAAAUGCUAGAGAUGCACAAAAAGUACAAAACAUAUUACUCUGUAUCCUGAAACAUAUGUCAUUCUUGAAAAUCGAACGCCUUGUAGCAAAUGGAAUCUGUUGAACCAUGCCUAUCAUGAGAGAACAAAAUAUCAAUGUUUGGAGAUUAGGGAACAUUUUCCAGGGAAGUGGUUUUUUUGUCAUGGUUUCUUAGGUUGGAUACUCCUGCCAUGUGACAGAAAGGGUGUGAGUAGCACCGGGGCACGAAUGUGGGUGGAGAAGAAAAAUAGAAAUGCUCUUGUAGCUUUGUCCAUAAUGGAUUGAUUUCCUCAUCUCGCAAGAUCAUCCAAAUUAAAAUGCUUUGCACUGGUCAUAUUAUUCUGCUUGGUGUAUAAAUAUGAAUGGAAGAACUUCUGAAUGAGUCCACAGUUUUAUUGUCAAUAAGAAAUCAUUAUAAUUCCGGUGUCUAAACUUGUGAUUUCACUAGAUCAUUCUCAAACUAUGCAUAACCAUUCCCAAGCCUUUUGAAUUUGUAUAGAUAAUCAUUAGGAGUUCUUUUAUACAUUCUGCCAUUGAUGGUCUCUCAUUACUAUCUGUUCGGACACAUCUUGAUGCUAGAUUGGCAAACAUGACUACAGACUGAAGGGUGUAAGAAUUUCGAGCCAUAUCUGGAUCUAUCACCUUACGAAGCUUCUUGCGGUCAUUCAAUAUGUGCCUCACCUGCAUAUGAAUGUCAAAUGAAUUAAAGUUGUGCUGUUGUAUGAAUGUAACAUUCUGGAACCUGGGAACCAAAAUCUUUUGCAGUGUCUGUGUUGUUGAGAGGGGGCAGGGGGAUUUCAAGUGAAAUUACUAUUUAUCCUACAUGGAUUGUAAAUCUUAGAAGUUUUUAAAAUUCAUGUGAUCACCUAAAGAAGUCAUAUGACUAUUUUUUAUUUCAUUCAUGAAUGCAUGAUGCAAUGCUUAGGAUUUGUUCUUCCCACUCUUACAAUAAGUCACUUCUCUCUCUUGAUAUACUCCCUUAUAAAAGAAAAACUACCAUCAAGGAUGUCUUGAAAAAGAGAUGACUUGAAAGAUAUAAAAGAAAAUUGCUGAUUACUAGUAAGUAGUAACUGAAUGUCCAAUUAUUUUUUAAUUUGAUAUUCUUACAGUUACAGAUCAAUGCCCUCUAUGUGUGUGUACAUUUCCUACCUGUAGUACAAGGUUUUGAUCGUUGGGACCCUGAUUUAGAUCUACAGCUCGGCGUCCAGUCAAAAGCUCCAGAAGAACAACACCAAAAGCAUAAACAUCACUUUGUAGAGUUCCCAUUACGCAUAUAUUCAUAUACUAGGAAUCUAUGCUUUCCAUCAGCACAGUAGCCUAUCAAAGACACGAGAUUUGGGUGAUCAAGUCUGCUCAAAAUGUCAACCUCGACACGGAAUUCACGUUCCCCCUCUGCUGCUUUAAUUGCUGGCAGCUCCAUUUUCUUGAUUGCUACUACCUUCAGAGGGAAUAACAUUAUAUUAGAAUGUAUUUAUUUGCAUCAAAAUCAGAAAAUUUGAGAAUAUUUUAAGAACCAUGGUUUACCAUGACAGUUGUUACAAAGUCUUGAUAAUUAUGAUGAAUUUCCAUGAGCU